UACGUAGGGGGCAAGCGUUGUCCGGAUUUAUUGGGCGUAAAGCGCGUGUAGGCGGCUUUGCAAGUCGGGUGUGAAAGCCCUCGGCUCAACCGAGGAAGUGCGCCCGAAACUGCAGAGCUUGAGUACCGGAGAGGAUGGCGGAAUUCCCCAAGUAGAGGUGAAAUUCGUAGAUAUGGGGAGGAACACCGGUGGCGAAGGCAGCCCCCUGGGUCCAAGACUGACGCUCAUGCACGAA
rnacentral:rRNA from 1 species